AGUGAGGUGCCUGAAAAAAAGGGUAACUUUGAUAGAGUUAAACAUGCAGGCUGCUCCUGCCCUCACUU
rnacentral:tRNA from 1 species